AACCAGACUCCUACGGGAGGCAGCAGUGGGGAAUAUUGCACAAUGGGGGGAACCCUGAUGCAGCGACGCCGCGUGAGUGAAGAAGUCUUUCGGUAUGUAAAGCUCUAUCAGCAGGGAAGAAAAUGACGGUACCUGACUAAGAAGCCCCGGCUAACUACGUGCCAGCAGCUGCGGUAAUACGUAGGGGGCAAGCGUUAUCCGGACUUACUGGGUGUAAAGGGAGCGUAGACGGCAGAGCAAGUCUGAAGUGAAAGCCCGCGGCCCAACUGCGGGACUGCUUUGGAAACUGCCCGGCUAGAGUGCUGGAGGGGCAGGCGGAAUUCCUGGUGUAGCGGUGAAAUGCGUAGAUAUCAGGAGGAACACCGGCGGCGAAGGCGGCCUGCUGGACCGCGACUGACGUUGAGGCUCGAAAGCGUGGGGAGCGAACAGGAUUAGAUACCCUGGUAC
rnacentral:rRNA from 1 species